rnacentral:lncRNA from 1 species
CCACCAGUGGAACAGAAAAAGCGGUACAGAAGCCAAUUUAAGUACACAUGGGUCUCUAAUCUAUCAUAAAAGCAGCAUUUAAAAUAAGUGGGAAAGGGUAGUUUUUUAAAACAUGUUGAAUGAGAACAAUUGACUAUGCAUUUGGAAAAAAAAUAAAAGGAAGAUCCCUACCUUAUAUCACAAAAAUAAAUUUAUGUUAAAUCAAAGACCUAAGUGUAAAAAAUAAAAACCAAAAGAAUUCUGGAAGAAAAUAUGAAGGAACAUUUUUGUGGCCUUGCAGUGAAGGGUCAGGAACAAAAUGACUAAUGUUUUCCUAAUAAGAACAAGACUAGACAAAACUAAAACACAAGUGACAAACAAGGGAGGGAAAACAUUUACAACUGACUGUUAAUACCCCGUAUUUAGAGAAAUCCAACUCAUUGAAAGAAAAUGACAGACAAUACGCUAAAGGGAUAAAGAAUACGUAUAGGCAAAAAUGAGGUAUGAAUGGCAAAUACAUCUGUGAAAAGAUGCUCAACCACAGUAUUGAUUAAAGGAAUGAGGAAGUGAGUAGCAACGAAAUAGAUUUUGCCAAAUCUGAUUGUUAACAAGUCAUAUAUUGUUCACAUUGAUUGCUGUCGAGGCUGUGAAAAAACAGGCAGCUUCCUAAUUGUUGGCAGGAAAAACCAACUGCUACAAACAUUUUGGGAGCAAUUUGGAAUUAUGUAAUAAAAUAUAUUUGCCUACCCUUUGGCCAUGCCAUCUCACUUUAAUGAAUCUAAAGAAAAAUAAAAUAAAAACAUUAUAAAGGUAUAUGGACAGGGAUUCUGAGGGAGUCCUGUAACAGGAAACAUUGUCUGCAGCCUAGGAUCUACCAGUAAGAGAAUGCGUUCAGCAAUUACGUCUGACACAAAACAACAGUAAGAAACACCCUCCACUCUUAGUGAGAGCUGAGGAUUUGGAUGACGUGGACCAGCUGGAGGAGAUUUUCUGGAAGGCAACUGAAUACAUUCUCAUCAGCCAUGGCAGUUCUCCAGGAAGCCCCUGGGCCUCAGUGGUAAGGCAGAGCUCUCUUCUCCUUGACCCAUCUUUCCCCUCCCCCAGCACUCCUCCGU